rnacentral:rRNA from 1 species
UACAGAGGUGGCAAGCGUUGUUCGGAAUUACUGGGCGUAAAGGGCGCGUAGGCGGCCAUCUAAGUCAGACGUGAAAUCGCCCGGCUUAACCUGGGAACUGCGUCUGAUACUGGAAGGCUCGAGUUUGGGAGAGGGAUGCAGAAUUCCAGGUGUAGCGGUGAAAUGCGUAGAUAUCUGGAGGAAUACCGGUGGCGAAGGCGGCAUCCUGGACCAACACUGACGCUGAGGCGCGAAAGCUAGGGGAGCAAACGGG